rnacentral:rRNA from 1 species
AUUGAACGCUGGCGGCAUGCUUUACACAUGCAAGUCGAACGGCAGCGCGGGCUUCGGCCUGGCGGCGAGUGGCGAACGGGUGAGUAAUGCAUCGGAACGUGCCCAGUAGUGGGGGAUAGCCCGGCGAAAGCCGGAUUAAUACCGCAUACGACCAGAGGGUGAAAGCGGGGGACCGAAAGGCCUCGCGCUAUUGGAGCGGCCGAUGUCGGAUUAGCUAGUUGGUGGGGUAAAGGCUUACCAAGGCGACGAUCCGUAGCUGGUCUGAGAGGACGACCAGCCACACUGGGACUGAGACACGGCCCAGACUCCUACGGGAGGCAGCAGUGGGGAAUUUUGGACAAUGGGGGCAACCCUGAUCCAGCCAUGCCGCGUGAGGGAAGAAGGCCUUCGGGUUGUAAACCGCUUUUGUUCGGGAAGAAAUCCUCUGGGCUAAUACCCCGGGGGGAUGACGGUACCGGAAGAAUAAGCACCGGCUAACUACGUG